GCCUGGCUGGCUCAGUUGGUAAAGCGUCUGACUCUUGAUUUCAGUUCAGGUCAUGAUCUCAUAGUUUGUGAGUUCAAGCCCCAUGUCGGGCU
rnacentral:tRNA from 1 species